UCUAUUUUCUUUCUAGACAAUAUGACCAAAUUAUUGCCAUUCGAAAAGGUGAUCAAAGAAUAUGUAAAUAAAAAAGGUGGAAAAAUGUAUUAAAAAGCAGGUGUGGUGGCUCAUACCUCUAAUUCUGGGGCUUUGGGAGGCUGAGCAGAAGGAUCAUUUGAAGCUAAGAGUGUGAGACCGGCCUGGACAAUAUAGUGAGACCCCUAUCUCCACCAAGAAACAAAGAAACAAACUUUAUCUUUAUAAACACUUGCACAUAAUACAUGAAAACAUGCUGAUUGUAAAAAUUCAAACAAUGUAGAGCAAAAAGUCACGGAAGAAACACAGAGGAGAAAGUCAACACUUCUCUUCGUGUUUUAUCUCUUUAACUCCAUUUGUCCCCUUCUCCUCUCUAAUGACAGGCAUAAUUCAAGAGUGUGGUUUGUGUGUUUUCAAAAUCACUGAAGCAUAUACCCAGAAUUUGGGAACAUAUUUAUUUAGACAGAGAUAGAAUUAUAAUGUAAUUCUCUAAUGUAAUUCUUAGAACAUUGUUCUAAGACUUUUCUUUCCUCCCUUAAAUAUAUUUGUAGUUUUGUUGGUUGGAAUUUUAAUACUAAAUCCUACUGCUGACCC
rnacentral:lncRNA from 1 species